UCCAUCUCGGGGAAUAUCAGCCCUAUGGGAAAGGUCCAAUUUUACAUGCCCUGUAUGAAAUAAAAAGGGCUAUGUGUGGUUGGACCUGUCCCACAGGCCCUGUGUUCUUACACAUGCAGA
rnacentral:precursor_RNA from 15 species